rnacentral:rRNA from 1 species
AGCGAACGCUGGCGGCGUGCCUAACACAUGCAAGUCGAACGGUUCUGUUGGGGGCUUGCUCUCGACAGAGUAGUGGCAAACGGGUGAGUAACACGUGGGUAAUCUUCCUUCGAGUGAGGAAUAACUUCGGGAAACCGGAGCUAAUACCGCAUAACAUCUUGGAACGGCAGUUCUAAGAUCAAAGGGGGCGCAAGCUCCCGCUUGAAGUUGAGCUCGCGUCCUAUCAGCUAGUUGGUGAGGUAAUGGCUCACCAAGGCUCCGACGGGUAGCCGGCCUGAGAGGGUGGCCGGCCACACUGGGACUGAGACACGGCCCAGACUCCUACGGGAGGCAGCAGUGGGGAAUAUUGCGCAAUGGACGAAAGUCUGACGCAGCGACGCCGCGUGGGUGAUGAAGGCCUCGGUCGUAAGACCUCGUUGUAGGAGGAGAAGACGUACUGUCGGUUAAUUAACCGGUCCACGGUGGUGGUAGUAGUAAUACCCUUACGAGGAAAGACGACCGGCCGUAACCUAACCGU